CUCUCGCUCUCUCAACCGUCAAUCAUCUUCUCUACUGAAUAUCCAUGAGUCAGUGGUGCUACCUUGAAAACAGGUUGAUAGUUUUUUUUUUUACAUGUUAAUUCAGUUGAGUUAUUUAUUGUGAUUGGUUUUGAGUUUCGUGACUUAAAAUUCGAAAUUAAAGCAUGAUUAUCCGAAAUUCAAAAAGGAUGUUUUGAUUUCAAUUCCAAAAUUUCAGUAGUAUUAAAUUAUAUAUAUAGUAUAUUGAUAAUUGUGAUUACCUCAUGUUUGCUCGCUCCUUGUAGAUUAUCCAUCAUGAAUUCAUGAUAAUGUUCUUAUACUAUUUAUUUUGUUAUGGUUUAUGGACCACAAAGCAUAUCUCAUCAUCGGUGUAUAAGUUAUUACUGAAACCUAAAUAAAAAAACAUUUUUAACCGUUUGCACAUUGGUGUUUAACAUUUGCAUUUGUUUGUGCAGGAACAUGGAAAUGGAAGUUAAUCUUAUUAGAGACAUCAUUCCAUGACAAAUCCUCUAUGAAAAUGGGAAGCAUCAUUCACGGAAACAUGAAAGCUGCACUUUAGUUCUUUUUCUUUAUUAAUUUAUUUUUCCAUCAUGUCUAUAGUAAACCUUGUUGGGACAUGUAGUGUGAAUUUGUAAAUUUAUAUAGGUCAAAAUUCUCUU
rnacentral:lncRNA from 1 species